rnacentral:rRNA from 1 species
CCAAUAGCGUAUAUUAAAGUAAGUUGUUGCAGUUAAAAAGCUCGUAGUUGAAUUUCGGGGUCAGCAGGUUGGUCGUGCCACUGGUAUGUACUGGUUUCGCUGAUUCCUCCUUUCUGAAGAACUGUAAUGCCAUUAAUUUGGUGUUGCAGGGAAACAGGACUGUUACUUUGAAAAAAUUAGAGUGUUUAAAGCAGGCUUACGCUUGAAUACAUUAGCAUGGAAUAAUGAAAUAGGACGUUCGAUCCUAUUUUGUUGGUUUCUAGGAUUGACGUAAUGAUUAAUAGGGAUAGUUGGGGGCAUUAGUAUUCAAUUGUCAGAGGUGAAAUUCUUGGAUUUAUUGAAGACUAACUACUGCGAAAGCAUUUGCCAAGGAUGUUUUCAUUAAUCAAGAACGAAAGUUAGGGGAUCGAAGACGAUCAGAUACCGUCGUAGUCUUAACCAUAAACUAUGCCGACUAGGGAUCGGAUGAUGUUAAUUUUUUAAUGACUCAUUCGGCGCCUUACG